rnacentral:ncRNA from 1 species
UCUUACAUCGGGUAAGAGACUUAUGCGGAUAACCACCGCGUAGCCAGUAAAGUUGGCAUUGGACUCCUUUAAAGGAGAAACAAAAUG